rnacentral:rRNA from 1 species
AUGAAGAUGGACGAUUUAGAUCCCGAUGCGGCGAAGAUCGUGCUAAGCCGUCUAUGCAAGGAUGUUGAAGCACUUGACGACAGAGAUGCAAGAGGCGGGCGCCGUGGAGGAGCAAACGGCAAAGUGAUAAGGAAGGAGGCACGGACAACCAGUCUGGGAAUAUCCGUUGUUUAUUACACUUCAAAAGAUUGCAUACAUAUGCACUUUGAUUUCCUCGUCAAAUUGCUAUUAGGAUCAACAUUUGCACUUCAAAUGUAUCCGGAUGAGGCUGGACGUUUUGGGACUUGCACUUCAAAUGUAUCCGGCUGA